CUGGGACUGACACAAUCUCCAAGACUGACGGAUGCCAGUUUGAAGACAGAGGAUAAAGCACGGACGUGAUUUACAGCAGCUCCGACCAUGGUCUGAACAUCGCUAGUCGUGCUUACCAAGUGAGGUCAUCUAGUUUUAGGCGCAGACACGAAGAAGUACAAAGAGCAAAACGGAGGACAGAAAAGACGAGGAAGCUGCAGGGAAGGAGGGAAUGCCCCGGUCGAGUCCAUCCAGGUACCGACCCAGCUGCACCCCCAUCAUUCCUUCACAGCCUCUGAUCCUCCGAGGAAACAUUAACACUUUGAUGGCAG